GGGCCCGCACAAGCGGUGGAGCAUGUGGUUUAAUUCGAUGAUACGCGAGGAACCUUACCAGGGCUUAAAUGUAGUGGGACAGGUCUAGAGAUAGACCCUUCUUCGGACUCAUUACAAGGUGCUGCAUGGUUGUCGUCAGCUCGUGCCGUGAGGUGUCAGGUUAAGUCCUAUAACGAGCGCAACCCCUAUCGUUAGUUGCCAGCGAGUAAUGUCGGGAACUCUAACGAAACUGCCAGUGCAAACUGUGAGGAAGGUGGGGAUGACGUCAAAUCAUCACGGCCCUUACGUCCUGGGCUACACACGUGCUACAAUGGCCGGUACAGAGAGCAGCCACCCCGCGAGGGGGAGCGGAUCUAUAAAACCUAUCUCAGUUCGGAUCGGAGUCUGCAACUCGACUCCGUG
rnacentral:rRNA from 1 species